rnacentral:lncRNA from 1 species
AUGCGACAAACGAAACAGCUGUACUCACAAAACAAAACACUUUUUAUAGUCGCAACCAGCAUAAUUUACAAAUAGCACAACAGGGCCAUUAGAUUCUGGGAGUACGACGCAUGGAGGCAUGUAGCUCGCCAAAGAUACUAAUACAGGAGCUAGUUGUAAACUUGUAUGUAAAGAUUGUAUGGUAAUACAGUUGCAUGGAGGGCUAAUAUGUAAUGGCUAGCAAGUGAGACUAGUUAUCAAAAUUGCAGUUCAAGCCAUGGCACUUUAUUUCUUGCCAUCUUAAUGCUCAUAUGCAUCCAGGUAUGAACAAGCAUGUUGCACUUGUAACCAGAUUGACCAUAUGAAUCACAGCACCGCCAACACUGCAUAUACUUUGACUUAAAACAGGCAUCAGUAGAGAGAAGGACGGCCAUAUGAAGAAGCUAGUGUAUCUGAUACACUUAGUGAUCCGCGUUGGAGAUGCCCCUGUUCUACAUUUCAUCAUUCAAAUGGUUGCUCACAGAAAGCAAGCCGUCCCGAUUUGCAUGCUUCCACCUAGUCACACAAAACCCUAACCCUAACACACACCAUAAAAACAAGCAAUGGUAUCUGAUCUCAGUACACAUCUGAAUGAGCCUUACUCAUCAUUUCCAUCAAUAGCACUUUGCUUCAAUCCCACAAAAAAGAAUAGAGGGAAACCAGUUGUCAAAGAACAAAAUAUGACCAGAAACCACGCAAGAAUCAGUGAAAGCAGAAAGAAUUACUAUAUCGGAAUCAAAUCAUGAUCUGGUGGACACAAAAAAGGGUACAUGUAUCAGUAAAAGGCUCAGAUGCUUAUAUCUCCAUCUCGACACCAUACAUGAACUUCUGCUAAAAUGACCAUGAACAUCUUAUAUUUGUGGACGGAGGGAGUAAUAGUUGGCCGCUGAACUGGUUACUUGCUGUGACACAAGCCAUCCUAGUUUAGCACCAAGUGAAUCAAUUCAGGUGUUAGAUAGAAGCUCUUGCAGGGAAGUUAUAUCAUCACAGCCAUUCAUGAACAUGACACAAAGGAAACAGUAAUCUUAACUUGCCCUAUACAACCCUUAAGUUGAAACCACUAAAGAACUAACAAGAAACCAAAAGUACAACUGAUAAGUAGAUAAAAGAGUACAGCAGAAGAACGAAAUUAUGAAGUAGCAAUUGAAACAAGCAAACUGCCCCAACAGUAAUUAAGAUAGUCUUAAGAACUAUCCAAGGGACAGCAGAAUUAUCAUAACCAUUCAAGAAAAAGGAAGAACAGAAGACAACAAUAAGUGCGGCUAGAGUACUGUUCCUAAAACAACAGAACUGGUUGACAUACUGCAAAACCAACAAAAUGUGUAGGAAAAAUAGAAUAGUCGAAGAUCCCUUUGCGCAUGCAACAGAUAGGGCUGCAAGAAAAGCUCGAGGCUCGUGAGCCGCUCGAGAUCGACUUGUUUUUUGACUCGACUUGAGAUCAACUCGAAAAUAAACAAGCAGAGUUUGAACACUUUAUGUAGCUCGACCAAGAAACGAGCCGAUCUUGAGCCAAUAUUGGCUCGUUCGAUUUUAGCUCGAUAGCUCGACAGAAUAUCAUUAUGUUAAAUGAUCAUGCCAUAUAUUAAACGAAAAUAAGAUAAUUUAUUACCAUAUAUUUUGUCCAUAAUUUUUCUCCAUUUUAUAUUUACCAACGAACAUGGAAACUUAAUUAAGUUCAGAGGAGAUUUAGGCCUAAUUAUUGCACGUGGUCGACUAUGUGUUAAAUACCCUAUAUUUUUGGCAAAGGUUCCCAGCAUAUUCACCUUAAAUUUUUUUGGUUUUAAUCUAUAGAUUUAUAAUUUCUAUCAUCUCAUUUAGCUCGAAACUAGCUCGAGAUCGACUCGAGAUCGUUACAAGCUGAGCACGAGUCAUGUUCUACAGCUCGAUCAUGAGCUUCACUUAGUUUGAGCUCGCUCGAAUUUUCAUACGAGUUGAGCUAAGCCAACUCCAACUCGCUCGAGCUCGACUCGUUUGCAUCCCUAGCAACAGAUAAGGGUGGAAAAUAGGUCGGGUCAGAUACAAAACAUAUGCAGCUAAGCACAGUAUCAGCAGCUGGAGGGCGAUUAGAGCUCAGAAGAGAGAAGAGGUGGUAAUUAAGAUUUAAGUGCCUCUUUGGAACGCAAGUAUCGUUCAAUAUGUAUUCCCUCCACAUUCAGUAAGAGUUCAGGCGGAGAGGGAUUCAGACUUCCCAGACACAGCAGCUCAGGUCCAAAAGGCGGAACUGAAUCGUGAAAAAUCCAUCAGAGUAGCUCAGAUCUCGUUGAGCACACCCAACUUCCCAGCCACCAGAGGCCACAGGACUACUCCGCCCCAUGAUCCACACCGCAAACCGCCAGCCCCUGAUGUUUCAGCUGUGCCGGCUGCCCGAGAAGGGCCUCCCAAGCCGAUGCAUUAGUGCAGAGGGCGCGACAGGAGGGGUGGCCCCAUGAAGCAAAGGUCUGAGGCCGGGGGAGACGGCAGGCUUCACCACCUUCAUCAUUCCUCAUCGCUGCCUCUCUAUCACAGGUGAAGCUUUAUAAGGACAUAGGGAUGGCAAGCAUCGAUGGUGGAAGUUAAGGAGGACUACAAUGGCAAAUAUCAAUAGAAAAAUUGACAAUGGAUGCAAAAAUAGGACCAAAAAACUGAAAAAUAGCAUCAAUAAAUCUGCUUUUAAAUUGGUUUGAUAAAAAGAUUUGACACCAUCUCACCUUCCCAGAAGGUCCACAUAAAGAAACAGAGCCAUAAUAACAAAGAACCAAAGCCGUAGGUAAUGCCAGGUUUCUUUUUCAAGGUACAGGCCAACAAUGUACAUAAUAUAUACAACUUAAUUUUCACAGUGAGCCCACGACCAUUCACAGUUGCCAAACAGGUAUUCUUAAAAUCAAGAAGAAACAAAGAAAAGUUUUUGGGAAAAUCAAACUGUUUUCUGGAGUAUAUUCCAAAAGUACUCACUGAUCAAAUUAAUAUAAUCAAACAGUAGAAGCAUCAGACACAGGUGUCAUAACAAAUACAUGCACGAGGAAUAGUUCACAAAAUCCAGGAAACAAAAUCCAGGAAAAUUGUGGAGUAUUACUUGAAUGGCUCAGAUUUAACCCACCAUAAAUCACCAAAGUUGGAAAAUGCUUCAGGUAGUACUCGAAGCCUUUCGGUACCAAACAACAACAACAACAAAGCCUUUCAGUCCCAAACAAGUUGGGGUAGGCACGUGGAUACCUAAUUUCCAUGCACCCCUGCCCAUGGCUAGUUCUUGGUGAUAUUCCAGUCCUUCAGGUCUCACCUUACCAUCUCUCUCUCUCUUUCCCCGCCCAGCAACAAAUAGCCGCAACUGGUAACUUGCUGCAAAGCAAGGCCUCCUAGUAUUACGACUGACUGUCUAACUGGGCAAAGUUGAAUGGAACCAAUCAUCUCUAUCUCAGGAUAUGUUGAAAGAUCUCCAACACCAAAGAGGAGGAAAUCAUCAUAGCCAUUCAGAAAAGAAUAGAACUCAUCAGCACACAACAGAAACAAAUAUGCUGUGUUCGGAAGUUGAUUUGGAACACUAUGCUGAUGGCCGUAUUACUAGAAAUGAAAGAAGCAAUUUACAUUUGUUCACUUCAGAUAAAAGGAGUAACUGCCAGAAAAAAAAAAACAGGACAAUACAAAUUUUCCAUUUUGGAAAAGAAAAACAUAAGGUAGAAAUCCAAGUCAAAAACAAUAGUGUGUUCGACAUAUAUAGUUUGUACAACUAUACAGGCAAAAAAUAAGCCAGCUAGAAAUCAAUCCAAGCUAGGGCGGUUGGCUUCAUCACCAAGAGAAGACAUCAAUCCAAGUCCAGAUGGGCCGUUACCCACAUCAACACAAUAGAGAGGAAUAAAAAAGAAAAAACAGUGCAUAGUAGAGAAGGUAAAAUCGAAUAUUUGUAGCGUAGCAAAAGAGGGCUCAGUUUUGCCUUUCAUCUUCAAGCCCAACACUCGCAUCUCUUGCUGCAUAAUCUACCCAUCACGAUGUAAAAGAACUGCCCUGGUUAUCAUUCAUCAGAAUGACCGUCCAAGUAGCAGAACAUCCAACAUUAGCGAUGAAUUGAACAGGCUGCAAGAGAGGUAAGGGUGUGCUCUAAUUUAGUACCCAUAGGCCACAGCUCUUAAUUGCUCAAGACAGGCUUAUUUCAGCCACGGUCAUCAUCAUUGCCCCUGGUAAGGACUCCAUCUCUUCAUCACACAGUAGCAUGCAUACAUCAUCCAUCCAUCCAUCCAUCAGGCUGGUCGUAGUGGUAAGUAACUUGUCGCAUCCAUGAUAUCCAUUACAGGCAUGCACACAUCCAUCCAUCCAUCCUCUUUAAUUACUUGUCACAUGAUCUUUUUUGCCUAUGUGGCAUGCAUGUUACUACUCCCUCCGUUCCAUAAUUACUGUUGUGGUUUUAGUUCAAAUAGUUCAAUUUGAACUAAAACCUAAGUUACUCCCACUAUGACUAGUCUCAGUCUCAGGAGCUGCUCGUACCUGGCCUCGACCGCCCAGUGUGGACGACGCAUCAGAUAAUGCCUUACGGUUCCCAGCCCACACCACAACCAAAUCCAAGGCAAUGAAAUGGCAGUGGCUGGCAGCACCGUAGAGACGGGGAACUGACGUGGCAGCCACCCGGACAAUGGGGUAGCAAGUCGGCAAUGAGAGCUUUGCUGAUUUGUUUAGGGCUUGAGAGAGAGAGAGAGAGAGAGAGAGAAAGGUGAGGAGGAUUCAUACCGAAUCCAAAACAAAAUGCAACUGAACUGAGCAAAAGAGGGCUCAGUUUUGCAUUUCAUCUUCAAACCAACACUCACACCUCUUGCUGCAUAAUCUAUCCAUCGCAGUGUAAGAGAACUGCCCUGGUUAUCACUCAUCAGAACGACCAUCCAAGGCACAGAACAUCCAACAUCCGCGAUGAAUUGGACAGGCUGCAAGAGAGGCAAGGGUGGGCUAAAGAGUAACUCCAACGCAGAUACCAAUUUUCUUGCACUGUUUAGUCCCACCUCGCCAAGGCUGUCUUGAUUGCUCAAGACAUGAUUAUUUCAGCCACAGUCAUCAUCAUCGGCAUCGCCCCUAGCAACAUAACCAUGAAUCCAUACAUAUAUGCAUGCAUACAUCCAUCUAUCCAUCCAUCCUGCUCAGGAGUUGCUCAUACCUGGCCUCGACCGACCAAAACUCCGGCUCCGACGACGCAUCAGAAGACACCGUACGGUUCCCAGCCGACGGGCACAACCAAAUCCAAGGCAAUGGGACGGCGGUGGCAGGCAGCACCGUAGCGGUGGGGAACUGAACUGACGCGGCGUACAUCCGGACGAUAGGUCAGUCAGCGAUCCGGCAACAAGAGCUCGCCUGAUUUGUUUUAAAAAUAUACUCCCUCCGUUCGGAUCAAGUGUCGUGGUUUUAGUUCACGACACAUGAAUGCAUCCAUUCAUCCAUCCUUCUCAGGAGCUGCUCAUACCUGGCCUCGACCGACCAAACCUCCCGCACGGACGACGCAUCAGACGUCAUCCUACGGCCCCCAGCCCACGCCACAACCGAAUCCAAGCCAAUGGAAUGGCGGUGGCUGGCCGCACCGUAGCAGCGCUGGGUCAGCGAUCCGGCAACGAGAGCUUGGCUGAUUCGGUUUAGGAUUUACUGGUGUGAACUCUAAGCGCGCGCGCGCACAGAGUGAGCGAGUGUGUGAGAGUCUGAGAGAGAGAGAGAGAGAGAUGGGGGGACCGUACCGGAUCCAAAGCAAAACGCAGCCAAGCUGCGAGAAAUCCAUCGACGGCGGCUCAGAUCCCGCGCCGGCCCGACCAAGCCCUCGACCGCAGCGCGCCAUGGGCCCCGCCGCUCGGUCCCCAGCCCGCACGGCCGCAGACGCCUCCCGCAUCCAUCCAUCCUCUUUAAUUACUUGCCAGUCAUUUUUGCCUAUGUGUCAUGAAUGUUACUACUCCCUCUGUUCCAUAAUUCAGUUACUCCCACUAUGACUAGUCUCAGUCUCAGGAGCUGCCCAUACCUGGCCUCGACCGACCAAACAUCCUGGUGUGGACGACUCAUCAGACAACGCCUUACGGGACCCAGCCCACGCCACAACCAAAUCCAAGGCAAUGGAAUGGCAGUGGCUGGCAGCACCGUAGAGACAGGGAACUGACGUGGCAACCACCGGGACGAUGGGUCAGCGAGUCGGCAAUGAGAGCUUGACUGAUUUGUUUUAGGGGUUGAGAGAGAGAGAGGUGAGGAGGAUUCAUACCGAAUCCAAGACAAAAUGCAACUGAACCGAGCAUAUGUAGCGUAGCAAAACAAGGCUCAGUUUUGCAUUUCAUCUUCAAACCCAACACUCACAUCUCUUGCUGCAUAAUCCACCCAUUGCCAUGUAAGAGAACUGCCCUGGUUAUCACUCAUCAGAAUGACCAUCCAAGGCAAAGAACAUCCAACAUUGGCAAUGAAUUUGACAGGCUGCAAGAGAGGCAAGGGUGGGCUCUAAGGCCAACUCCUUUUUUCUGGCACUGUUUAGUCCCACCUCGCCGAGCUGUCUUGAUUGCUCAAGACAUGAUUAUUUCAACCAGUCAUCAUCAUCGGCAUCGCCCCUCCUUUUUUUCCAAAAAGGAGGUUGAACCCCCGAGCAACAUGACCAUGAUAUCCAUACAUAUAUGCAUGCAUACAUCCAUCUAUCCAUCCAUCCUGCUCAGGAGUUGCUCAUACCUGGCCUAGACCGACCAAAACUCCGGCUCCAACGACGCAUCAGACAACACCGUAAGGUUCCCAGCCCAUACGCACAACCGAAUCCAAGGCAAUUGGACGGCGGUGGUAGCGGUGGGGAACUGACGCGGCGGACAUCCGGAAAAUAGGUCAGCAAUCCGGCAACGAGAGCUCGCCUGAUUUGUUUUAAAAAUAUAAUCCGGCAACGACACAUGAAUGCAUCCAUUCAUCCAUCCUUGUCAGGAGCUGCUCAUACCUGGCCUCGACCGACCAAACCUCCCGCAUCAGACAUCAUCCUACGGCUCCCAGCCCACGCCACAACCGAAUCCAAGGCAAUGGAAUGGCGGUGGCUGGCGGCACCGUAGCAGCGCUGGGGAACUGAGGCGGCAACGAGAGCUCGGCUGAUUCGGUUUAGGAUUUACUGGUGUGAACUCUAGGCGCGCGCGCGCACAGAGUGAGCGAGUGUGUGUGAGAGUCUGAGAGAGAGAGAGAGAGAGAGAGAGAGAGAGAGAGAGUGAGAGAGAGAGGGAGAUGGGGGGACCGUACCGGAUCCAAAGCGAAACGCAGCCAAGCUGCGAGAAAUCCAUCGACGGCGGCUCAGAUCCCGCGCCGGCCAGACCAGGCCCUUGACCGGAGCACCGCUCGGUCCCCAGCCCGCACGGCCGCGGACGCCCCCCGCAUCGGCGGCAGCCCCGAGGGGCCUCCAAGCCGAUGCGCGACGGCGCGGCGAGGGGGGCUGGCCCCGAGGAGCGGCGGCCCGGCGCGACCGCCGCCCGGAGCCUGGCCGUCGCCGGCGGCUCCCUCCAUCAUCGCCGCCGUCCGGGGAGGGAAGCGGUCAUCGGCCACGGCGAGAGGGGCGGGCACGGCGGCAGGAUUCGGUCAGACAUGGUUAGAGCGCUCGCAUUGCAUGCUCCGCCGCCGGUGGCCUCUCGCACCAGGACUGGUCCGAGCCAGAUCCGGGAAUGGAUGGAGGGGAAGGGGAAUGAGAGCGGGGGUGCAGAUGAGGGGAGGGAAGAAGCCACCUUCAGCCGUUGCUUGGGGGAGGACACACGGAGUGCCGACUAGCGCACUAGAGUUAGACCCAGUGAACGUGUCCUCUUGUGUGCAUUUUCUCGGGGUCUCUUCUCAACCAAACAUAAAAAAAUACUCAUAUGAAUCUCGGCGUAAAAUCAAUGACAAAGAUACAUUUGAUGUGCAAUGCUUAAGAUAGACUUAGACGUUGUUUAGCAAAACAGUUUUCUCAGGUCGUCGCGGUUAAGACAUUGUUUAACUUAGGCCAACCUCAACGCCGGCGCCCCAACGGACGCGGAUGUUGUCCUUUUUUUUAUGUUUGGAUUGGCUAGGCAAACGCUCAAUGUCUGAUUUUUUUUUCCGCCGGACCAUAGAUCAGCCCAACGCGGACGGAGAGAUUUCGGAAUUAUAAAAAAUAAAAACAACAAAUAAAAUAAUAAAAUAGCCACCAACAGUCCAGUUUACAUUAAAUAAAAAUAUUGAAAAUGAAAACAUGCGUGCGGUGGCGACGGCGGCGUCCUUCUCGGUCAAGUCGACAUACACCGGUGCAUCGAUCCACGGAAAGCCGCCUAGGAGGCUGCCAGUGCCGCGCUGCAUCUGUCGCCGCCUGCUGGACCGGCUGAGUGUCGUGCACCCGUGUGCCGCCUGCCGCUUGGCUGCCAAGGCGCAUGUCUCGGCCUCGUACAGGUGUCGUUGCUUCUCCUCUUCAUCGCGCACAGCCAAACAGGCGUGCACGACGUAGAAGGGCACCAUGCUCGCCCAUGAAAUCGAACGCCACAACACUCCAUGAGCACAGGCGAUGCUUGUGGGUGUGGCCACGGGGAAAAUAUCUGGUAUUCCCACACCUAGGGUGCUCCCGGUGCUUCAAAACUCUAUAGCACGUUUCUAAAUGUUCGAAAAAAUCUGAAAAAAAAUCUAGCACAUUGACGCAACAUCAAAGUAUGUUGUCAAAAAAUUUGAAAUCAAAAUUCAAAACAUAGCUUGAGAAACAUAAAUGACAAAUUCGACAGUAAAUAGUAUGCAACUUAAGUUGGGCUUUAGAGUAGGCCCAUUACCACAUUGAUGUCUAUUUUGUCAUUUUUGUAUCUCGAGCAAUGUUUCGAAAUUUGAUUUGAUUUUUCUUAACAACAUACAUUGAUGUUGUGUCAAUGUGCUAGUUUUUUUCAGAAUUUUUUUAACACUUUAAAAUGUGCUACCGAGUUUGGAGCACCGGGAGCACCCUAGGGAUGGGAGUACUACAUAUUUCCCCUGUGGCCACGGCGCGUUAGUCUCCACGCCCGUUGUUUAAGUAAUUAAUGUUGAACCUUAUACUCCCACUAUUCCUUAAUAUAGUGCAUAUAUAUUAUCUUAAAAGUUUACAGAGAAUAGAAUACUUUAUAUAAUGAGAUGGACAAUUUCAUAUUGUAUGUAUGUGAUAUUGUAGCUAUAGAUAAUUUCGCCCAUAAAUUUGGUCAGACUUGACUCCUAAAAUAAUUUGUAUACACUACACUAUGAAACGGAGAAGUAUUAAGCCUAACACCUUACAAACUCAGAGCACUUCUACCAUCGAUCAGGACAAAGCCCACUUCAAAGUUAUUGAUCCUAGGCUCCAUGAUCAGCGGGCAUCGUUGUGGCUCGAUGAGAAUUUUGGGGGCCAUUGCUUUGGUUGAAGAUGGUGAUUUACACCUUCCACAAGGACCGGACAUGAAGCACGAGAUGUGAUGUGUUCUCAUGCUAAUACUUUCGCUUUAUGUAUUUUCAACUUGUCUCACUCACUCUCAUCGGUGUUAUUAAGCCAACCAUUUCAUCUCAAGACUCAAUCUACAUGUGCCUAUCAUGUACCCCAACAAACGAGCAUAAAACCCCACUGAACCAGCCUAGACAAAGAUUACACCAACGAGCGACGAGUCGGCCCACUGCAUGAAAUGCAGAAGAAGAGAACUGGUUUGGUGGGGGUAUGCCCAGAUUUGGGAGCAUACUCCAACCAUGGAAAUACCAGAUUUGGUCUAGAUGCGUACAAGAUUAAUAGAUGGGCAGCGGAGCACAACACAAAGAAAAUUGGUGGACCAAUAUGUCAAGGCCCAAUACUGCAAACCGGAAGGCCAUGGCUUCAUGAACAAUGCUCGUCUCUUCGGCUAUUUGGAACUGAGAGAAAUUCUAGUGUUUAGGAAGAAAUCCACUAACAUUGUCAUGCUCAUCCACCUCUUCCACAUUCUCAAGCUCAUCCAGGACGAGUCAAGGCUUUUUGAUCACGGCGGGAGGUAGGCAUCUGAGCAUCAUCAUGCCACACAUUUUUGUGUUGGUAGGUGUAUACUAUCUCUAUUGGGCUAUGAUGUGGAGCCAAAAUGUACUUUGAACACCCCUCUCUCCCUCUCUAAUUAAGAAUGAGGCAAAUCUUUUGCCUUGGUUUUAAAAAUAAUAAUUAUUUCCUGGGCAUUAUCUAUGUGUGUAUAGCAACAAUGAACAUGUAUAUGGUGAGAAAAUAGUCAAGAAUAUCAACAUAAGCAAAAUCCAGGGACAGCUGUAGUUAUCGCAAAGAGAAAUACACCCUGUGUACUAAAUGUAAGACGUUAAUAGGCCAUUAAAUUCUAGCUCUGCCUAAGCCGGCAAUCUGGCCCAUGCAUAAAGCCAAGCCACUAAUCCGGCCCAUGCAUAAAGCCAAGCCACUAAUCCGGCCCAUGCAUAAAGCCAAGCCACUGACAUUAGCUAUCAAAAUUUCAUUCCAAGCCAUGACAAUUAAUAUUCUCACCAUCUUAAUGCUCAUAUGCACUCACACUCGCAUCCAAAUGUGACAAGCAUGUUACCAGAUUGACCAUACAAAUUACAGCACCACCAACACUUGUAUAUAUUGACUUGAACAGGCAUCAGUACAGAGAAGGGCGAACAUACAAAAAAGCUUCAUUACUGCUCCAAGGCAUACUUAUUAUUACCUUACCAGAAAGCAUCAUCAGAACUCAUCAGGCUUGAAGUAUUUCAUGGCGGUACAUCAUACUCUUGUAGCUUGUGAUUAUCUAAUAUCAAGAUCUCUAGGCGGCCAAUUUUAUUCCUAUACGUUUCAUGAAAAUUAUGUCGUUAAAGUAGUAUUUCAAAAGUUGCCCACUGAAGGAAUUAACCACAUAGGAGAUCAAGAUGUAGAGUACACUGAAGUUCAAAUCACAUAUUACUGGAAAUAUCAACAGUGCAUAGAAAGAGGGCAACAAACAAGAGGCAAACGUAGAAAUAGGGGAGGAGUGGUGCGGAUUAGGCUGCAACCCUGUGGGCCCUGGGAGUAAGCAUGUAGGCACGCCAAUAUCCAACACAUUCAUAUGGGCAAAACCCACUCUAUAUCCGAUACACUUGGUGAUCUGCAUUGCAGAUGCCCUUACACCCCCGUGUGACACACUAGUAGGAAAAGGGGCUUUUACCCCGGUUCAUAAGGGCCUUUAGUCCCGGUUCAGGAACCGGGACUAAAGGGUCGUUACUAAUGCCCUAGCCCUUUAGUCCCGGUUCUUACACGAACCGGGACUAAAGGCCGUCCACGUGGCCGGUGCGGGGAGCCCAGGCAGGAGGGCCUUUGGUCCCGGUUGGUGCCACCAACCGGGACCAAUAGGCAUCCACGCGUCAGCACCUGGNNNNNNNNNNNNNNNNNNNNNNNNNNNNNNNNNNNNNNNNNNNNNNNNNNNNNNNNNNNNNNNNNNNNNNNNNNNNNNNNNNNNNNNNNNNNNNNNNNNNNNNNNNNNNNNNNNNNNNNNNNNNNNNNNNNNNNNNNNNNNNNNNNNNNNNNNNNNNNNNNNNNNNNNNNNNNNNNNNNNNNNNNNNNNNNNNNNNNNNNNNNNNNNNNNNNNNNNNNNNNNNNNNNNNNNNNNNNNNNNNNNNNNNNNNNNNNNNNNNNNNNNNNNNNNNNNNNNNNNNNNNNNNNNNNNNNNNNNNNNNNNNNNNNNNNNNNNNNNNNNNNNNNNNNNGGGGGGUUUGGGGGUUUUGGGGGGUUAAUUUAGGUUGUUAUUAGGUAGCUAUUAGAGAGAAGUGUCCUCUCUUAUAUCUCCGUGCUUGGUUUACCAACGCUACGUACUGCUAUGCCUAAACAUGGCUUAGAUUGAAGUGAAGGCAACAUGUGGUGCAUGUCGAAAGUAAUACUAAUCCGGACUUGAUCAAGUUUGGAUUGUACUACUUUCGACACGCACCACAUGCAUGUUGCCUUCACUUCAAUUCAAUCCAUGUUCAUUUCACCCGCUGAUAUAUAAUAACUCUUCAUGCACGCAUCAUGCAUCAUCAUAUAUAAUAACAAGUCCUACUAAUCAUCAUCAUACAACUUCUACUCGUUAUUAAUAACAAGUCAUACGAUCGAUCAUCAUCCUCACAGUCAUCGAACCAACCCUACUUAAUUGUUCUUAGCACAUGAUCAUCAGUAUUAGGUAGGACCGAAAUACCCUCUUUAAGGUAAAAUAGCAUAAAACAAUAUAGACCCUGACUCUCCAUUAUGGAGAAUGGAGAUCAUCCUGUCUCCAAUUCUUGCGCCUCGCUUCCUUUUGCUUCCAAGAAGCUCCUUGCGACUGUCCAUACAUUUUUUCCAUUCUUUGAUUUGCAUGUCUCCACUUCUUUUAGAAAUCCGGUAUGUACAGUUGAGAUUCGUAGGAUGACCUAGUUGUAUAUUCAAAACAUCAAGCCUACCAUUCUGAUACAUCAAAUGAGGCACACAAUCCUCUGGGAUUAUCUGUUGAAAAACAUAGUAAUAACUUCAUAGUUAGCAAUGAUAAUGCACUAGUUUUAGAACUAUGCAAAAUAUGCACGGAUGUCGUAAUAGUAAGAAAUCUUACCAGGGUAUCUCCAUAGUAGUUACCGUAGUUCACCACGUGCACUAGUGGCAGGUAUGGAGGACCAUAAUGAUGAGGAGUUUGAUUGUAGAUAUUGUAAUUCUCAAUAUCAGUACAAAAUCCGACCAGAUGAGUUUUCUCCUUAUAAGUUAACUCAGAGCCAUCGGUGUAAUAGGUUCUGUCUACCAUGUUCCGCACAUUGUUUGAACAAUAAAAAUAAGCUGUCAAUGAAAAUAAGCUGUCAACUAUUUUGAAAUGAACAAUAUAAAUUAGCUAAUAACUAUGUUUGAGAAACUCACAUAGCGGUAGAAUUGGAGGCGUAUCAACAAGGACCCAAAUGUCCAUAUUGUCUUGCUCGAUGUCAGGAUCACCAAGAUCCAUGGUGACAAGCAUACCCUCAUCAAAACCAUACAUCUUGCAAAAUGCUUCCCAAUUUUUGCAACCAAAAUGGGUUACGCUCUCAGAAUUAUACAACUUUACUUCAAAAUCUAUAUCAUGAUGGGUCCUUAGGUGAAUUUUCUUUGUUUCCAUACUUUCAUGGUCUUCAAAACCCAUCCUCUCCAAGACGUAGCGUCUUGCAUGGCAUGGGAUAAGCUAGCCGAAUUGUAAAAGAUGAAAAGUACACGUUGAAAUAGUUGAAGUCGUGCUUAAUUACGAAAAAAUAACACUUGUCGUCGUUGCGUACCGUUUCAACAUCGAACGCCUCCUCCAGCUUAAUACUGAAGCGCCGAUCUUCGUCCAGGUGAGGCCUGUCGCACUGACCUCGGUCGUCGUGGCACCAGUCGCACUCCCCCGGGAGACUUUCGUCGUCCGAGUACGACAUUUCCUAUGUUCAUAUAUAAUUCAAAUAGUAAACAUCUACAAUUAAAUAUAUGUACUAAAAAACCUAAGUUAGAUCAUUAUUAUUCAUCACGGGUUGACUAUCGGUUUGUCGAGUCUUUUCUUGAAAACUCUCAGCUCACGUGGUGUAUACAUUCGACCGUUGGUGAUGGUCGCUCCUCCCUUUGUCCCCGUGUGCAUUACACCAAAAUGUCUAGCUAGCACACGGGAACAAAGGAGAAGCGACCCCCACGACAACAGUCGGGAUUCUUCGUCCUCUCAUAUAUAUAUAUGGUGGAACUCUCCCUCACUGAUUCCUCUCUGACAUUUGCGACCGUCGGUGAUGGUAGCUCCUCCUUUCGUUCUCGAGUGCAUUACACCAAAUUGUCUAGCACACGGGAACGAAGGAGAAGCUACCCCCACGACAACACAGUCGGGAUUCUUCGUCCUCUCAUAUAUGGUGGAGACUCGAUAGACUUACAGUCAACCCGAAAUAUCGUUUAAUUAUCUUUCUAAAAGAGGAUUUGGCUGGUCUCACCUCGAUGUCGGAGGGGGCGGUGACGGGGACGACGGCGGGGAUGAUGGAGGGGCCGGGGGGCUCCUAGAUUUCUGCGAAAACAAAAACCCUAUAAGCUAUCAACUAAUCAUAGUGCUCUCCAAUUUUAGCAUUCAAAGUAGGAUCGGAGUAGUUUUCCACUUUGAGCAUUCAAUAAGCAAAAUCAAAUCACAAAAUAAAGUAGUAUUCAAAUUAGGAUGCAUCCAAUUAUAAGCAAAACUACAUCAUCUCCAUGCGUCCGUACAUCGCUGAAUAUUAUCACUAAUACACCUCGAAUACUAUCAUACAUAUAGCAUCGCUAGUACAGCUAGAAUAGUAGCGCCCGACGGACAUCGGCGCGGGCGGUGGACACCCAAAGGGACGGAACCAUCACAGGAUCAUAGCUCCAGUGAGAUCCCUGAAGAACCUGCCAGGUACUGUCGAACCUGCCCUCCAACGCAACCAUGUAGCGACGGACGUGCUGGUCCUCCUCGCUGACACGGUGACGUACCUCCUCCGCGGUGUCCGGAAGCCUCGGCACCGUCACUGGCCCACGCGAGCGCCACCAAACAAGGAUCGGGUCAACGACGGGCUGGUUCCUCACCAACCUACGCCCACCGGAAGGUAGCACCUCCCAAAACCAGCCCGGCGGAGCCCAGUCCCGGACAUGGCCCCUCUGAUCAAGCCGGCCUCCUCCGCCGAGUCCACGACGAGGAUGCGGGAUAGGCAUCGUCGACGUCGAUGCGGGAAUAAUUGCUUUAACUAAAAAAACAAACUAGUUCUAUUAAUUUCCUUACUAUAAAUAGAAUAAAGUAAUACUUACUAAAAAUAAACUAGCUAGUUUAACUAGUUCUAUUAUUUUUCUAACUAAUUCUAUUAAACACUUUCUAGGUAGUACUUACUAAAAGUUAUCGGGGAGGGGGGUACAUAUAUCGACAACGACAUACCCGAUAAAAAAUAAGAAGAGGAAGAAAACGAAAAAAAGAGGAGAAGAAGAAAGGAAUAGAGGAGGAGAUCGAAGAAAAAAAAGAAAAAAAGAGGAGAAGAAGAAGGAAUAGAGGAGAAGAAGAAGAAAUAGANNNNNNNNNNNNNNNNNNNNNNNNNNNNNNNNNNNNNNNNNNNNNNNNNNNNNNNNNNNNNNNNNNNNNNNNNNNNNNNNNNNNNNNNNNNNNNNNNNNNNNNNNNNNNNNNNNNNNNNNNNNNNNNNNNNNNNNNNNNNNNNNCUUCUUCUCUUCUUCUCUUCUUCUUCUCCUUCUUAUUUUCCUUUUUUCUCUCCUUCUUUUUCUUCUAAAUAUGAACAUACAUAAAUGACUUUGAUCAUACACAAUUUCUAUGAACAAAAAAAAUCAUAAAAAUUCUAUGAACAAAAUUACAACAGAAAAAAUCAUAAAAAUUCUAUGAAAAAAUUGAUAUAUUCUUUGCAUAUGAACAUACAAACAUUUGCAUAUUCAAUAAUAAUAUCACCAAAAAAAUCUAAACUACACAUCUAAAUUACAACAACUAAAUUAUCUAAUUAACUACACAUCCAAAUUAAUACAACUAAAUUACAAAUCUAACUACACAUCCAAAUUAAUACUACACAUACAAAUCUAAUUACACAACUAAAUCUAACUACACAUCCAAAUUAAUACUACACAUACAAAUCUAAUUACAUCUAAAUUAAUACUACACAUACAAAUCUAAUUACAACAAUCUAAUUACAAAUCUAACUACACAUCCAUUACAGGGAGGAGGAGGAGGGGAUCGGGGCGGCGCUCACAGGGUGGCGGAGGGCGACGGCGACCGCGGCGGGCCGGGGGCGUAGGGCGGUGACGGUGACGUACGGGGCGACGGCUCGGGGGCGCGCGGCGGAUGCCGACGGCGACGGNNNNNNNNNNNNNNNNNNNNNNNNNNNNNNNNNNNNNNNNNNNNNNNNNNNNNNNNNNNNNNNNNNNNNNNNNNNNNNNNNNNNNNNNNNNNNNNNNNNNNNNNNNNNNNNNNNNNNNNNNNNNNNNNNNNNNNNNNNNNNNNNNNNNNNNNNNNNNNNNNNNNNNNNNNNNNNNNNNNNNNNNNNNNNNNNNNNNNNNNNNNNNNNNNNNNNNNNNNNNNUGUCUGUUGGCCUAUUGGGCCUUCUGCGGGCCUGAAUCCUGGCCCAGGUUGGGUUUCUAGUCGUAUUCAGGCCGUGGUGGCCCAAUAGGUGGCAGUUUUUUAAAUUUUUUGCAUUAUUUAUUUUCUUUUGUUUUUUGCUUUAUUUUUUAAUUCUUUUUGCUUUUAGGUCAGCAAAAUUAUAAACUGUCUGUUAGUGCCAUUAGUUUUAUAAAACAUAUAAACUUUCUAUUAGUUCCAUUAGUUCUUUAUGAAAAUUCUUUUUGCUGUAUUUAUUUUUUUAUUUUAUUUUUUGCUAUAUUUAUUUUGUUUUAUUUCUACUUACAACAAAAAACUUAUUUAUUUUAUUUUAUUUUGUUUCUAAUUACUUAUUUAUUUUACUUUAUGAUAAUUCUUUCUGCUAUUAAAGUUUCUAUCAAAAAAAGUUCUUUAUGAAAAUUCUUUUUGCUUUUAAUGAUUAAAAAUAAAAAAGAGGCGCAACGCGCGUUGAUUUGCUUCAAGCCUUUCGGAAUAGUGUAGACUGCACUGCACAUAGCUCGAUGCAGUCUACCUUAUUCCUCAAGGCUUGAAGCUAAGCAACGUGAGCAUUGCGCCUCUUCUUCAUCGUCUCUGCACUCAGGGCUUAUAAAUCGCUCCUAGUGCCUCUCAGCUAGCGAGGUGGGACUAAAAAACUGCUUAGCUAGUAAGAAACUCUAGUACCGGUUCGUGCCACGAACAGGUACUAAAGGUGCUCGUGGGGCCACAGCCUCAUUAGUACCAGUUCGUGGCACCAACAGGGACCAAAGGGUGGAAUUGGUCCCGGUUCGUGCCACCAAUGGCAUGUUACAAAACGGACAAUCUCUUUCAAAGUAUCAGGAUUUCAUCCGGAAACUCGUCUGUUACAAAGGGAUUUCAUUUUUUUUAAACUUAUUUGAACUCCUGAAUUUUUGUGUGUUCAAAAUGCACCAUUCAAAGCCACAUCAUCAUUUGUCAAUCCUUUCUGACUUCAUUUGUUAUUUUUCAUGCAUUUACUAAUUAUUUUGAGCUAUAAGACCCUAAAAUUGAAAAGCAUUUCAAAUGAACUCUGAAAAGGUUGAAAGUUGGCAUGAUAUCAUCAUUUCAUCCACAUAGCAUGUGCAAGAACGUUGAGAGGGUUACGGCAUAAACUGGAUGCACUUCGUGUACAAAACGGACAAUCUCUUCCAGACGCAUUUUAUUUUUAUUUAUUUUACUGCUGCUAUUUUUACUUAAUUUAUUAAGGUUUAUUUAUUGUAGUUACUAUAGUUUAUUUUAUUUUAUUUUAUUAAGGUUUAUUUAGUUUUAUUUAUUUUAUUAAGGUUUAUUUAUUUUAUAAAUAUAAAAAAUGAAAAUAGAUGCGCUUAUAGAGAAAAUUCAACCUAAAUUCAUAAUAAAUAUCUAUGAAAUUUACUGUGAAUUUAGGUCAAAUUCCCUGUAUAAGGGCAUCUAUUUUCACUUUAAAAGGCAGAGAGGGACGGGCUUAUAAACUGGUGUGAGCCCCUUCGGUUGGUGAGGUGGGACUAAACACUGGCCGCAACUAGGACCAGCCCUUUAGUCCCGGUUUGUGGUAUGAACCGGGACUAAAGGGUGGUGGGCCAGGAGCGUGGCCCAUUGGUCCCGGUUUGUACCACCAACCGGGACCAAAGGGUCCAUACGAACCGGGACCAAUGCCCACGAGGCCCCGGACGGCCCCCUGGGCUCACGAACCGGGACGAAUGCUCACAUUAGUCCCGGUUCGUGACUGAACCGGGGCUAAUGUGAAAACUGCCCUGUGACCUUUGCCCCGUUUUCUACUAGUGACAUCUCAGCAUUCAAAUGGUUGCUCACAGAAAGCAAGCCGUCCCGAUUUGCACGCUUCCACCUACACACACAAAACCCUAACCCUAACAUAUACCAUAAAUACAAGUGAUGGUAUAUGAUCUCAGUACACCUCUGAAUGAGCCUUACUCAUCAUCACCAUCAACAGCACUUAGGCGCAAAUCCCACAAAGAGAAUAACAGAGAAGCCAAUAGUCAAAGAGCGCAAGAUGACCAGAAACAACAUGAGAAUCGGUAAAAGCAGAAAGAAUCACUAUAUCGGGAGCAAAUCAUGAACUGGUGGACACAAAAACUGGGACAUGUAUAAGUACAUGGCUUAGAUACACUCCCAUCUCAACACUAUAACUGAAUUUCUGGUAGAAUGACCAUGAACAUUUAUAUUUGUGAACGGAGGGAGUAACAGUUAAGAAGGGGAGCCUUGCCGCAGCGAUAAAGCUGUAGCCUUGUAACCUUGAGUUCAUGGGUUCGAGUCCUGGAAACAGCCUCUUGCAGAAAUGUAGGGAAAGGUUGCGUACUAUAGACCCAAAGCGAUCGGACGCAUGUUCUUCCUUGGUACAUGCGUGUGUGUGUGUGUUCCUGAGUUCCACCAUUGUGCGUCUGUGUGUGUGUGUUCUUGAAAAAAACCACAAGAGAGUUGAGAGAGGAGGAAGAAGAGAGGCGCUGCAAGGAGGCGGAGCCAACACCCGGACUGUUGAGGAUAUAACCAUUGGAGUCACCCGCCCAGGAGGGGCCGGGUUACCCAUAAUGGUCAUCACGCGAAGCCCAGUACCAAAUUUGAAGACGGCGGGUCAAUAAUGGGCCUAAGACCCGGAGAUGGCUUAAGGCCCGUAGUGUUAGCCGCCGUUGGGGUGAAACUUGUAGUGUAAGGCAAGAAUAGCUAAGAGUCCGAGCCGGACACUGUUAUGGGCCGGCCGGGACUCUGAGAGCCGCUGGGCGUCAACCUCUCUAUAUAAAGGGACGACCCGGCGGCGGUUUAGGGACAAGGAAGAUCAAGUCGAGAGCCGGGCAUAGCAAUUAAGCUCCCUGGUCAUCAAAACCCUAAUCAAUACCACCUCAACUGGACGUAGGCUUUUACCUUCACCGUAAGGGGCCGAACCAGUAUAACCCUCGUGUUCCUUGUCCCGUUUAACCCCUUUAAGCUUCCUAGCUGCGAUGGCUCCACGAUUAAGUCCUAACACGAGGACAUCUGCCGUGAUAAAUGCACGACAGUUGGCGCCCACCGUGGGGCUGGCGCACGGUGGAUUUGAGUUCUUGAAGGGCAGCUUCGAAGGGCUCAAGGGAUACGCGGUAGGCCGGAUGACUAAGAGUCAUCGCGGCAAGCUCUACAUCGACGAUGCAAACUGGGGCCCCGACGCCGGCUCAAUUGAGUACGGGUACCGGGUCCCCUUCGGCGGAAUUCAUGUCUUCAUUGGCAAGAUUGGUGAGCCGGGCCCUAAGCCGGAUCUCUGCGCCGAUCUCAUGGAGACGGCUCAGCGCGCACGAACCGCCCGGGCUCUGCCUGCCUUGAAGCAUGCUUUCGUGGGAUGUGUCCAUGGUGGAUUCUUUGAAGGGUCUGGAUCUGGUGAUGAGACGGCCGCCGGCUCUGGCGGCGAGUCGUCUACGGAUGAGUCAAACUCGUUGUAUCAACUUCAAGAUGGCAGGCUCAGGAGUUGUUCCGAUGGCGACAGCAUUCCGGACCCCUUUGAGCCGCCGAGCCGGGUUGGAAUCUUCAUGGCCGGCGCACAACCUGUUCAAAACCCCGCCGCCGGGUCAGGAAGCCCUGUGCCCUCGCCGGCUCAGGUGUUGAUGGAUCUCACAGACAUGAUGACAGCCUUGUUGACCGCUACGGUUGCCCCGGCGGAUCAAGUUCAGCAUGACAAGGAGGUAGCACAGUUAAAGUUGGAUCUAGCAAAAGCCAAGGAGGAUCUGGCGGCGGAAGGGAUCAGGAUGGCUGCAGAGAGGGCGGCUCUCGACGCCCAGACUCAGUUGAUCCAGGCACAGUCUUUCCAGCUCACGAUGGAUCAAAACGCGUCCAAUGAGGUCAUGAGAAGGAGGCAUCAAAAGGCCCAAUCUCGACUCCCUCCGGUUUACGAUCCUCGGAACCUCUUCAACACGCCGGGUGCAGGGUCUAGUAACCCGCCAGAGAUCAUAGUGCCCGGGGCUGGGACACCAAUUCAGCCCCAAGUGAUGGGACCUCCCCGGGUGAACCCUGCCCCGCCUCAGUACGUACCAAUACCGCCGGGUCAUUAUGCCAACCCGUUGGAAAACAUGGUCGCCGCGGCGGCGCGGCUGGCGGCUCUCCCAAUUGAUGGUGACUCUCCAACGGCGGUUGAAACCCGCCGGGUCAGAGAACUCCUUCAAACGGCUCUGGCGCAGCAAGAGGCGUAUUCUUAUAGCCGGGACAGGAUUCAUUCAACCCUCGUCCAGGCCGGAGCCCGAGUUAUAGCAGACACAUGGUCUCAGCGACCGGCUCAAGCAACGUCCGACGCCAUGGCUUGCCUCCUGGCCACGGCCCGGCUUAUCCGACGGCUCAUAACGGGGCCUUUCACGCGGCAGACCAAGACAGAGCUCGGCAAGAGGCGGAGCAGGCGCCUCAGUUGACGGCUUACCAGCCACCCCCGGCUUAUCCGACGGCUUCUAUCGAUGCGGGUAUACCUACGAGGACUGGAGGUGUCCCUUGUCUGGUGCCGGCUCUCUGCAAUGAACGUCUGCCCAAGGAUUUCAAAGGGCCUAGGAAGGUGCCUAAUUACACGGCUGAUUUACAACCCGGAGCUUGGAUCGAGAGUUACGAGAUGGCCAUGGAGUUGCUGGAGGUCAGUGAAGCGGCAAUGGACAAAUACUUCACCAUGAUGUUAGAUGGGACUGCCCGCACUUGGUUGAAAGGGCUGCCACCGAAUUCUAUCGGGUCUUGGGCUGAGCUAAAGGCCCGGUUCAUCCAAAACUUCAAAGAUACCUGUAGGCAGUCUAUGUCAAUUGUGGAUUUGACUAACUGUAAGCAGCAGGAGGGUGAGUCUACAACCCACUGGGUUCGCCGGGUCAAAGAGAUAAUACAUUCAUCUGAUAAGAUGGAUGCCGGCUCUGCAGUCUUAAUGUUAGAGCAGAAUUGUCGCUUUGCGCCCCUGAAGAUGAAACUCGGGCGGCUCAAGCGCGAUUGCAACGAUAUGGGUACGCUGAUGGCGGCUCUGGUUAAAUACGCCGACUCUGACAGUACCAAGGAUCCCGCGUCAGAUGAUGAAAGGACAGGGAAGGGAAAACGGAACGACAAUGGCAAGGGCCCCCAGCAUAACCCGGCGAACCAGGGGGGUAACAAGCGUAAGGCUGAUGGCACUAUGGAGUUUGUGGCCAAUGCCAGUUCACAAGGUAACAACCACCGGCGCAAGGGGAGACCGCCUCCCCGCCGGCGGGUCAGGCCCGACGCUUGAGCAGUUGUUGAAUGAGCCUUGUCCAAAGCAUGGCUCUAGGGAAAAGCCGGCCACUCAUAUGUGGAAAGACUGCGCAAUCAUGAAGGCCUUCAAAAAUUCCAAUACUUUCAAUGGCAAUAAUGGCCCGGGCGGCGGCUCAGGCGCCGGCGGCUUUCAUGGCUCGGGCAGCGGCUCAAGUUCCAAUCCUCAGAAUGUUCAAAGGGGCUUUAAUCAGCAGUCCGGCCAGGGUCAUCAACAGCAGCAGGGGGAUACCAGACGAAUCCGAAGCAGCUCAAUGGUGGACAGUAUCAUGUGUUUACCACCAGUCUGUGCAAGCGAGAUCAGAAGCUUCAUAAGAGGGCUGUUAACGCUGUUGAGCCGGCGGUUCCACGCUAUUUAAGAUGGUCUGAGCAGCCUAUUGUGUGGAGUAGGGAAGAUCACCCUCCCCGGGUUGAUAAUCCGGGACACCUGGCCCUGGUGGUGGAUCCUCAGGUGGGGGGAUACAAAUUCACUAAGGUGCUCAUGGAUGGAGGCAGCAGCAUCAACAUCCUCUAUUACGAGACCUUCCGUCGUAUGGGGUUGAUUGAUAAGAACCUCAGCCAGUCCAAUACUGUUUUCCAUGGUGUGGUGCCUGGUAAGUCGGCAUAUCCAGUUGGUAAGAUCGAGCUGGAAGUGGCUUUUGGAGAUGAGCACAACUACAGGGCGGAAAAAUUGACCUUUGAGGUGGUUAAGAUAAGAAGUCCGUAUCAUGCUAUAUUUGGGCGGCCGGCUUACGCCAAGUUUAUGGCACGGCCGUGUUACGUAUAUUUACAGCUCAAGAUGCCGGGUCACAAUGGGACCAUUACGGUUCAUGGCAGCCGAAAGAUAGCCCUGGAGUGUGAGGAAGGUGACGCGGCUUAUGCAAAAUCUGUUUGUGCAACAGAGGAGUUGAAGUUUUACAAGGACAACGUUGACCCGGCAGAUAUGACAUCUCUGAAAAAGCUGACCACGGAGCAUGAGCCGGCGAUGAAAUUUAAGUCAGCUGAUGAGACCAAACUUGUUGACUUUGUUCCAGGUGACUCGUCUCAGCAGUUUAGCAUCAGUGCCAAUCUGGAUCCGAAAUAGGAAAGCACGCUCGUCGAGUUCAUCCGUGAGAACAGGGACAUUUUUGCAUGGAAACCUUCUAACAUGCCAGGUGUACCUAGGGAACUCGCUGAGCACACUCUCAAUAUUGAUCCGAAACCGGUCAGGCAAUUCCUUCGGCGGUUUAAUGAGGAGAGGCGGAAAGCCAUUGGUGAGGAGGUGGCCCGGCUCUUGGCGGCCGAGUUUAUUGUCGAAGUCCUUCAUCCAGAAUGGUUAGCUAACCCGGUGUUCGUGCUCAAGAAGAAUGGCACCUGGCGGAUGUGUGGACUACACGGACUUAAACAAGGCGUGACCGGCUGAUCCUUUUGCUCUCCCCCGUAUUGAUCAAAUCAUUGAUGCUACAGCGGGUUGUGAGCGCUUAAGUUUCUUGGAUGCUUAUUCUGGAUACCAUCAGAUUAAAAUGGCAGUUAAGGACCAGGAGAAGACGGCGUUCAUCACUCCCUUUGGAGCCUUCUGUUAUGUGUCUAUGCCUUUUGGACUCAAGAGUGCACAUGCGACUUACCAGCGUUGUGUGCAGAAUUGUCUUCAUAACCAGAUUGGGCGCAAUGUUCAUGCCUAUGUGGAUGAUAUCAUGGUUAAAUCCAGGGAGAAGGAGACCCUGGUUGAUGACCUUAGAGAAACCUUUGAUAAUCUCCGGGUUUACAAGAUGAUGCUUAACCCGGCCAAGUGUGUUUUUGGUGUUCCUGCAGGCAAGCUCUUGGGUUUCCUGGUUUCUAACAGAGGCAUUGAAGCUAACCCGGAAAAAAUCAAGGCAAUCACCUCUCUGGCUAAGCCGGCGUGUAUAAACGACGUCCAGCGUCUAGCAGGCCGCAUCGCUGCUUUGAGUCGUUUUAUAAGCCGUUUGGGUGAAAAGGCCAUGCCACUGUACCAGUUGAUGAAGAAAACUGAUGAUUUUGUCUGGAAUGAUGCUGCUAAUACUGCUUUCGAGGAUUUGAAGAGACAGCUGGCUGAGCCCCCGGUUCUUGCUGCUCCGGUUGACAAGGAGCCCUUAUUACUGUAUGUAGCUGCUAACGCAUGAGCCGUCAGUGUGGCUGUGGUGGUGGAGCGCAAGGAAGAGGGUAAGGAGUACCCGGUUCAGCGGCCGGUUUACUACGUCAGUGAAGUGCUCAUUGAGUAUAAACAGCGGUAUCCACAUUGGCAGAAGCUUGUUUAUGGUGUGUUCAUGGCAAGCCGGAAGCUUAAGCAUUAUUUCCAGGGUCACCCCAUCACUGUGGUUAGUUUCGCUCCCCUUGGAGAUAUCAUCCAAAACAGAGAAGCUACAGGAAGAGUGGCUAAGUGGGCUAUAGAGCUUGGGCCUCAUGGUCUGAAAUACGUACCAUGCACUGCUGUCAAAUCUCAAGCAUUGGUGGAUUUCAUCAAUGAUUGGACAGAGCUACAGGUGCCGGAAGAAAAGCCGGAUAAUACAUAUUGGACUAUUCACUUCGAUGGGUCCAGGCAAUUGGAGGGCUCGGGGGCUGGAGUUGUAUUAGCUUCCCCUCGAGGUGACAAGUUUUGCUACGUGCUACGGUUGAUGUUUCCCUGUACUAACAAUGCAGCUGAGUACGAGGCCUUGCUCCAUGGUCUUCGGAUGGCUAAGGAGAUGAGUUUGAGCCGGGUGAGGUGCUUUGGCAACUCAGAUUUAGUGGCCCAACAAGUGUCAGGCAAGUGGGAUUCCAAGGACCCUCUCAUGGCGGCUUAUCGCCGUGAAGUUGAUGCCAUUGCUGGACACUUUCAGGGUUACCAAGUAGAGCACAUCGAUCGCAGGAAGAACGAGGCGGCUGAUGCACUAAGUCGGCUGGGCUCUCAGCGAAAGCCGGUGCCGCCUAAUACUUUCUUAGACAUCUUGCAUAACCCUCUGUUAAGUUACCUACAGAGGAAGACUUGGCUGUCCCUGACCCGGAGGCACAGUUGGUGGCGGCUCUUCACAUCACCCCAGACUGGACAAUACCAUAUUUGGCUUACAUGACCCGGGGAGAGUUGCCUGAGGAUGAAACUUUGGCCAGACAAAUAACCCGGUGUCACGACCGGUUUUUCAAUAAAAAUAUUUAUUGAGAGACCAAUCCCUUUUAUGGACCAGUAAAGAAGAAUUCCUUCUCACUGGUAGACAAUAUCUUGGUCACAGAAGAAAAUACCAGGAGUACUGAAUAUAAUACAAGGUUGAGCGGGGACUGCUCAACAAUUUAUUACAAACACGCCGACAAAACAUAACGGCGGAUAGGGUGGCAUGACUACUAACUCACGAUAACAACGGUGGUGGAAAUAUCACAGCGGAGUAGGUGAUAUGACUCCUGAAAACUACAGCUCUUCGAGCGUCGGAGUGAGGCUCGAGGAGACUUAUUGCGGGUGGCGGAAGCGUGUAUAAUACAAGUGACCAAAAUCCGGGAUCGCACAGGACUGACUGGGAGUCAUCUAGGCGUCGGACGCACUAUCAAACUCUUCAUCCAAGAGAUCGACUUCGUCAACAUCUGGCCAAAUCAACAAGCCAGGUGAGUACUAUGAAAGUACUCGCAAGACAGUUUGGACAUAAGAUAUAACAAAUGUAAACAUGAAGCAUAUGAACAGAUUUUCCAGUGCGUUCAGACAUAGAGAUAAUAAAUACUGGGUGCCAAACGAGGGUCUGAAUGACUCCUCGAGAGGAAACUGCAAGAAUAGUAAUACUGGUGCCAAACGAGUGUCUGAAUGACUCCUCGAGAGGAAACUGCAAGAAUAGUAAUACUGGUGCCAAACGAGUGUCUGAAUGACUCCUCAAGAGGAAACUGCAAGAAUAGUAAUACUGGUGCCAAACGAGUGUCUGAAUGACUCCUCGAGAGGAAACUGCAAGAAUAGUAAUACUGGUGCCAAACGAGUGUCUGAAUGACUCCUCGAGAGGAAACUGCAAGAAUAGUAAUACUGGUGCCAAACGAGUGUCUGAAUGACUCCUCGAGAGGAAACUGCAAGAAUAGUAAUGCCGCAGUCGGGCGUCAGGGCGACACCACAUAAAGGGCUUAUAAAAGAAAAUAAAAGACGAACAUGCCACAGUCAGNNNNNNNNNNGAACAGAUUUUCCAGUGCGUUCAGACAUAGAGAUAAUAAAUACUGGGUGCCAAACGAGGGUCUGAAUGACUCCUCGAGAGGAAACUGCAAGAAUAGUAAUACUGGUGCCAAACGAGUGUCUGAAUGACUCCUCGAGAGGAAACUGCAAGAAUAGUAAUACUGGUGCCAAACGAGUGUCUGAAUGACUCCUCGAGAGGAAACUGCAAGAAUAGUAAUACUGGUGCCAAACGAGUGUCUGAAUGACUCCUCGAGAGGAAACUGCAAGAAUAAUAAUACUGGUGCCAAACGAGUGUCUGAAUGACUCCUCGAGAGGAAACUGCAAGAAUAAUAAUGCCGCAGUCGGGCGUCAGGGCGACACCACAUAAAGGGCUUAUAACAGAAAAUAAAAGACAAACAUGGCACAGUCGGACGUCUGAGCGACAUCACAUAAAGGGCUUAUAUUGUGGCUCAAUAAUUCAGUAACUUGAGAACAUAAAUUAUUACAAGCACGAGACAAAUAUAAGGUUAGUCCAUCCGCAGGAAUAACAAUUAAACUGGGUUUACCACUUGAGCUUGUUCACCGGGGGUAGAAAUUCCACGAGGAUAGAUAUGGAUAUACUGGUUACUCUAAUUGAUCAUGGGGACUAACAAUUAAACGGAAGGAUUUGACUCUGCAGAGUUUGUACUUAACCACAGCCAACGGAUUUCAGUAGUCACGGGACUAGUUCCGUUUACGGUGUUUUGGAAGAAACACGUCUAACCAGUACACACCCAUUCAACAUUCCGAAGCCAGGGAUCACCCUCGGCAAUGUUCAAGAAAAACCUUGAGACGGGGAGGCUACAACCUCGCGUAGCAUGGGAUCAAAUUUCUAUACGCGCUCUCUAAGGGGGUGCCCCCCCUCUCGGUCCCAACCGGAAACACCCAUGCCCCCUGACCGGAUGACUGGCUUUAAUCCUGGGCCAAGGUACCAUCAUCCCGGCCCCUCUGUUUGGUGUGUACACGGAAAGAGGUUACCAACUUACUAAACCGCAUCCUGGCAAAUGAAACAUGUGGCAGCACGGAGAGGAAAAGAACGAUAACGUGACUCCGUCCACGUUAACGUCGGAAUUUGUCAGAUGACGGAGGCUGGUAUGCUACAACAGUACCACCUUGCUGCCCUUCAUGUCACCACAUGAUUAGGCCAUCUCUCACCAGAGAUCAUCGUGACUUUGGAACAUGCGGGUUGCCUCACAAGCAAUGAGGUACUCACUGACACUCAUAAGCCACGCACAAACUUUCACGCAAACAUGCAAAACACCCAUCAUAUCAAAGGUUCAAACAUGCUUGCCUGGUUCGGAGAAGUCGGAGUCUAGUUCGGCGAAGUUCGCGGCUCCGUCACCUCCUCCAGAACCUACGGCAAUAACGAAAACGGGCACUAACGUGAAAACCAACGUGUGCAUAAAAACUUCUCCAAAUUUUUUCCAAAUAAAUCCCAUAAAAAACUAGACAAAAUUUUAAGAUUGUCAGAAAAAGAAUCACUCAAAAAUCCCUUUUUAUUAAAAAUUUAUAAAGGUUUCUGUCCAGGGACUCAUCUGUAAUGAAACAGAAAAGUUCCAGGGUUUAAACUGAGAAAACAAAAAACGCUUCGAAUAGAAAUGCGCAAGCCCACAGAGAAAACGUAUUUGCCUGAAGGCGCCAACAGAAAACGUUUCGCGAGGGGAAACAGAAGAGAGGCUGACAGGGGGGUCCCACAUGUCAGGUUUAAACCUCGCCGGCGCCCGAGGGCUGCGGUGGUCGCCGGCGUCGAACCACGGCGAGACAGGGAGAUCGGAGUGUACCAAGAGCUUCAGCGUGUCCUUCCGCGUCGGUGGGUGGUGGACUCGACCGACGGAGAGCACCACGUCGACGGCGACACUUUCUCCGGCGGACGGCGGUUCGGGUGAUGGUGGAGAACUCCGGUGGUGAGCUGCAAACUCCGAAUUGACGCGCGGGUCAGAAGAGUGGAUGCAUAAGGGAGCUACUGGCAAGAGAUGGGAGGCAGAGGCGCACGCACGGGAGCGAAUCGAGCUGGAUCCCGUGGCGGGUCGCGGCGGCCGGAGUCGAGGAAGGAGACCUCCUCGGGGUUCUUCCAGUGGCUUGGCGUGCUCUAGGUGGAGUGCAGGGGUGGGGUGGGUUCGAGUUGAAGCCCGGGGCUUCUAUUUAUAGGCGGAUCGAGGGGGUGGCCGUGAACGGAGAAUCUCCGGCGAGCAAUUACGGCGAUGCAGUGGUCGAGCAGGGGGUUUGAGUGGCCAGGCAGCAUCAGUGGAAGUUACUGGUGUCGUUCCCCCGCUAAUCCCGGCUGGUCUUGGCGUAACGGCGCCGGUCCACGGUGGGGUGGCCGCACGGGCACGUCGGCGGCAGAGAGCGCACUCCGCGCCCAGCGGUUCACGACGAGAGUGGCAGCGCGUUCUGGGGAGUGGAAGGCCACACGGCGACCUCCGGUGGCUUGGGCGGCACUGGGUGGCGCCGUCAGCGCCGCGCCUCUCUCUGGCGGCUGCAAAGCCGCCGCUGGCGUCGGUCACGGGGCGGCGCACCUCCUGCUGCUCGUCGCCGACGUCCGCAAGGUGUCAGGGGAUCGUGCGGUGCAGAGGACAAGGAGGAAAGCGCAGGGCGCACGGCGACACCGCGGCACUGGCGAGAUCGACGUCGGGUUCUGAAGAAAACGACAGUGGGCACUGAACUGUUCUCUGAAUUUUCUGAACCUGAUUUUGACAAUGCCCUGCAGGUGUUCGACAGAAUGAUUAGGCAAGCAGAAAAAUUUUCCUGGGGCUGGGACUUGGUGAGGUGACCACUCAAUGCACCCAGAGGCUGCCUGAUUUUACUCAGAAUUUUUGGAGAAGGAUUUGAAUGAAUUUCAUCAAAUUUGACAAAUCUGGUCCAAACUUGCAGCAAGUGUAGUUUGAAAAAUUUGAACUGAAGACCAGUGGAUCUUCAUGGUUCUUGGUUGAGGGUUCAAAGGACUAGGAAGGGAAAAAGGUUUGGGGGCAAAAGUCAAAGCAGAAAGAGUAGUUCCUUUGUAAACCUCCAAGGGCUAGAAUAGAGGACAAAAAUUGUUUUGAUAAGAUUUAAAUGGAAAAUAAUUAUAUGGGGAGGUUCAGCUUGCUGGUUUUGAUGCAAAUCAUGAUCCAAAGAUGAGGGAAGGUUUAGGAGAGUGGAUUUGUACUAAGGCCAUGGCAAGAGAGAAUUGUUGAAAGUGGCAAAGGAUUAUUCCAAAAGCUAUAGAGUAUUUUCAAAGAAAUUUUCAAAAGACAUUUUUCUCAAGUGAAAAGCAUUUUGGUUUGAGUCCAAAUAAAAAGCAAGGACCUCCAAGACCAAAAACAAGUCUUGGGUGAAUCCAAAUAAAACUCUUGCCAUAAAAAAAAUAUUUUGAGAGGGAGGGUUCUUUUGAAGAAAAAUUUAAAUCACCUCCCUCAAGUCAAAUUUUUUUUUUGAAAAAUCCAAAUAAAAUUUUGGGUGUCACACCCGGCGGUAUAAGUCAAUGAUAGUUAUCAAUGGUGAGCUACAUCGCCGCAGUGUCACCGGAACUUUCCAGCGUUGUGUUUCCCCUGAGGAAGGCCAAGAUAUUUUGCGUGAGAUUCAUGAGGGGAUUGUGGCCAUCAUGCCGGCUCAAAAUCUCUUGUGGCCAAGGCUUUUCGUCAUGGUUUUUAUUGGCUGACGGCUCAUGCUGAUGCGGAAGACUUGGUCAGUAAAUGUGAUGGUUGUCAGAGGUUCUCUCGACGGGCUCAUGUGCCGGCUCAGGAGCUGAGGAUGAUCCCAAUUACUUGGCCAUUUGCGGUCUGGGGGCUUGAUAUGGUUGGGCCUUUUAAAAGGUCCAAGGAUAAGAAGACCCACCUCUUGGUGGCAGUUGACAAGUUCACAAAGUGGGUUGAGGCAGAGCCAGUUAGCAAGUGUGACGCAGCCACAGCGGUUCAGUUCAUGAAAAAGGUGAUAUUUCGCUUUGGUUUCCCACACAACAUUAUAACUGACGAUGGUACCAAUCUGUCUAAGGGCGCCAUGGAGGAGUUUUGUCAACGAGAGCAUAUUCGACUUGAUGUUUCGUCAGUGGCUCAUCCUCAAUCCAAUGGUCAAGCUGAGAGAGCUAAUCAGGAGAUCUUGAAGGGUAUUAAGCCCCGGCUUUUGGUCCCUUUGCAACGGACGCCGGGUUGUUGGGUGGAGGAGUUACCCUCCGUGUUAUGGAGCAUCAAUACUACUCCUAACAGGUCUACGGGUUACACGCCUUUCUUUAUGGUUUAUGGAGCGGAAGCAGUCCUCCCUAGUGACAUCCGUCAUGACUCACCUCGAGUGGCGGCUUAUGUUGAGGCGGAUAAUGAACGGGCGCGCCAAGAUGCUCUGGACUUGUUGGACGAACAGCGUGAUGUCGCAGCAGCUCGCUCGGCGAUUUACCAACAAGACCUGCGCCGUUAUCACAGCCGCCGGGUUAAGUCCCGGGUCUUCCAGGAAGGUGAUCUGGUGCUCCGGCUUGUCCAAGACCAAACAGAUGCACACAAAUUAUCCCCGCCUUGGGAAGGGCCCUUUGUGGUCAGCAAGAACUUGCACAACGGGUCAUACUACCUUAUCGAUGUUCGGGAGCACAAAGAUUCACGCAAGUCGGAGGAAGAGACCCGUCGGCCGUGGAACAUAGCUCAGCUUCGGCCUCAUUACACUUGAGCCACCGGCUCUCAUAGUGUACAUAUUUCUAUAGCCAUGUAUAUAUUAUGAUAAAUAAUAAAGCAGGACCUCUGUCCUUUUCUCCUCCAAAGGUAAACGUGUUAUUAUCAUUACAACAUCACAUGGUCACUUGGAGGUGGAUCCGGCUUAUGAUCGUAUUCGAAUCUAGCCGUAAACAAUAUGAUCACAUGGGGGCUUCCUGUUCAAACAUAGGUCGCACUCGAACCAAAGAGAACAUAGUUGUCGAUACCCACUUGAUUGGCAAAUUGCCGAGCUCAUUGGGGAGUUUUCUUUGAUCAUAUUUGAAUCAUAGCUCAACCCCCUUUGGGAACCGAUGUGGAUCGUAUUUGAAUCAGCGUCGUUAAACAACUCUUAAGGUCAUUUGGGGGCUUCCUGUUCAAACAUGGGUCGUAUUCGAACCAAAGAGAACAUAGCUGUCGGUACCCUCUUGAUCGGCAUCGCCAAAGCCAUUGGGGGCUAUAUGAUCGCAUUCGACUCUUAGCUUAACCCCUUUGGGACGGGUCUCUGGUCGUAUUUGAACCAGAAGCCCCUAAGUUUUGAUCUUCUGACUUACAACAAGCUCUUUUGGUCAUGUCAACAGUGUGCAAGGACGGCUUUUACUUCGCCGGCUUAAUUUUGAUUCACAACGUUGAUAACACAUAGUAAGUAUUCUUGAUGCUGGUAAACCGGAGUUGAGAUCUUCAACUCAUUAUUCGGGUUACAUAAACCGGAAGUAUACUUGAAGGCUUGUAAGUAUGCUAUUAUGGUUACAUCAAAAAAUAUAAUUGAGGGCCAGUCUUUGGUGACUUUUGUUCAUACUCCGGGUUAUAUAUAUAAGGUCUAUGAUUCUCAGUGCGGUAAGCCGCCUGGAGACUUGUGACUUGUUUUCUAUGCAGGAUGGUUAAAGACAGCUGUUCGAACUUAAGGAAAAUAAACUGAUCGAUUAUAACCCGGAGGAAUAAGCAGAAGCAGCUUCAAUGGAGUUAAGCAUUCAACACGUGCACGAUGGCACGACAAAAUUAAGUGUUUGUCCUACUCUAUUACAAGACUCCCCGAGUCCAAAAGGUGAGGCAUUGUUUUAAGGUGCAACCAUGAGCCGCCUAAAAGUCAAGAUGCUUGUUGAGUUGAAGCUUCCGGCUCAUCCCUCUCCGCUCCUCCGGCUGAUUCCAUGACCUGGAAGGUUGACGAUUUCCAGUCAAUGCCGUUCAAGGCUUCAAAUUGAGCCUCGUCGUCAAUUAACCCGGCCGGGUCAACUUCUGGGGCAAAGGUAUGCUUACGAGUCGGAGGGAUCAAGCUGAUGGCUUCAUAACAUGGAGUGGGGAUCCUCUGAUUCUCCGCGUCAUAGCCCGGCUGGUACUUGGUAAGAUCUGUGUCGUUUCCAAUCAUGGUAGCCACCGGGCGCACGCUCUUCACACAGGCGGCGAAGUCUUUCUGGUCAAAGGGAGUGUCGUCUUCCUUCAGGCUGGGGUAUGCAAGAGCAAUGUCGGCCGGGUCUAGCUCCGGGAGAAAAGCCUUGGCCCGGCUCAGUGCAGCUAUAGCUCCGGCUCUUGCAGAGGCCCGUCUUAGCUCUUGGAAGCGCUGAGGAAGAACGGCAAGCCGCCUGAGUACAUCCGCCAGGUGAGUCGGAACCUCGUUGGACAGGGCCACAACGGCUAACGCACGCUGUGACCCGGUAUAGAGUUGCUCCACCAAGGUAUACACGGCCUUCAGCUUGGUCAGAACAUUCUGGUUCAAGUUGAAGCUUCUGGGACCUAUUUAACAAAGUCAGGUAAGCCGGUGGCAGUAGUGAGACUUAUGAGACAUAAAGAAUGAAAACUUGUUAAAGGCUUGCAGAAUGACUUACCGAAGAUUGCGGCGACCAUCUGUGACACAUGGCGCUUUAAGCCGGAGAGUUCGGCGGUUCUCUCCGUCAGAGCAGCCUCUGCUUUUUCGGCCCGGCUCAGCAAGACGGUUUUCUCCUCGGCCCAAGUUUUUCUCUCUGUUUCAAAUUUCUUCUUCAGUUUUUCCUGUUCAGCAACACUGAACUCGAAUUUAGCAUUGGCCUUCCGGGUCUCAGUUUCCUGAGUAUUCAGGCGGUUCUUCAGCUUCAAAUUUUUUGCAGACAGCCUGUACAAAUUCCGGGUUAUAGUAUGAGUAAUUUUUAUGUAACAUUCAAAGUCCCAAGCACUUUGCACGCAAAGACACUUGGCACUUGGGGGCUAAUGUAUGCUGAAAGGUUCUAUUUAUAGUGCCGGUUCAUGAAAGUAAGUCCCAAGUACUUUGCAGGCAAAUGUACUUGGCACUUGGGGGCUAAUGUGUAACGUUGCUCAACUACUUGAUGAAAGUAAGGAAAGAGCCGGGUCAACUAUGCUGUUUAAGCCGGCCCUCGAGUGUUACCAGUCAUAGACUUGGGGGCUGGCAUGGUAAAGAUAACUAUGGAAUAAGCAAGAGAGUCAUACCUCAGAUUUUUGCUGUAUCUGCUUCACCAUAUCAAUCUCCAAGUCCCGGUUGCUGUGCACGUGACCAAUGUAACCAGAAACAAUGUCUCCAAUACUCAAGUUAGCAUAGUCAGUAAUCUCCAGUCUAGCCUUGCGGCGCUCCAGCGCUUCUUCUUUGGCAGAGCAUCUGGCCAGCGCAGUGGGUCUUCCCGGCUCAACGUAUUCAGUCCGGGUAAUCACCACAUCCGGAUCAUCGGCCGAUUGAGCUGAGCUGGGAAUCUCCGGGUUGUCGGAACCCGCCAUGGUUUGUUCUUCAGUUGAGGCGGCGGUGUCCGGAGCUGGUGAAGAUGGCGGCCCGGGAGCAGAAGCUUCUGGUUCAAUCAAUACCGACUCUUCGACCGGGUGAUUCUUCUUCGCUCUCUUGCUGAGCUUUGCUUAAGCACUGAAAGGACAAAAGGUUAGUACAAAAGCAUGAGUAAAGAUAAGCACAACAUAAGAUGAUCAUCAUUACCCAGGUGCGGUCUUGAAAGCCGGCAAGUUAGAUUGCAUAGAGUCACCAGAGGAAGGUGAAGUUUCCUGAUAGUUUGAAUCGGAAGAAUUGAGUGGUUGGCGAAUGAUGCCCGCCAAAUGAUGAAAAGGAUAUAAGUUGGAGAUAACCUCGGUCCGGCGCUUCCUUGAUGCUUCAGGUAAGCCAGAGGAGAGGUCUGCAUCCUUGGUGGCCCGGGUUUGUCUCCGGCUCUCAUGAAUCUGUUGCUUCAAAAGAAAUUGAGGAUCUUGAUAAGCUAAAGGAUGUGAAAAUCUUACUUUCCGGGUUACUCUUCGGACUUUCAGCCUUGGCAAGGGCUCCGAGUCGGAGGAAAUGAUCAGUGUCAAUAAGAUGGUUACUCGCUCCGGUAUCAUCCUGCUAAUGAUCAGUGUCAAUAAGAUGGUUACAAACAGACGAAAAAACAAAAGAAGAGUCUAAAGAAACAAGGGCUACCUCUGACUCGGAGCUAUCAUCCAGCUGAAGCAGCUCUGAGGCGCUAGGCUUACUCCCCUUCUUGCGGGGAGCGGCUCUCCUGGCGGCUUUCUUAGCCUUCCUGGCUUUUUUGGCAGCUCCAUGGUCAUACUUGACCUUCCAGAACGCAUCAUUAGCCUGAAAAAUACGACAAAGAUUUCUUAAGGUUCAGGUGAAAACUAUUAAAAGGGAAAGCAAGGUGCUCAGGUCAGCGGCUUACCGCUGGAGCCGGGUUAGCUUGGCAGAAGGGGCUUAAGCCGGUCCUCCCACAGUCGGCUAAGCUCUCAUUCAGGAGAGACUUGGUCAUGUCGUCCACGACAUCCUCAGGAAGAUCGUGGGAGCUGUGCCGCAAAGGGUCAUCCUUUCGGCCCGUGUAAUCACACAUUAAGCCGGGGCGGCGGCUCAGAGGAAUCACCCGCCAAGAAAUCCAGACCCGGACCAGAUCAAUGCCGUUAAGGCCAUUUCCCAGAAGAGCCUUAAUCUUGUUGAUGGUAGGGAUAAGUGGCUGACGUUCCGCUUGAGUUAGUUUGUCUGGCAGGGGGUGAGUUGGCUCCAGACGCAGGGCACAAAAGCCAGGCAGAGGGCUCUCAUCAGCCGGAGAAGUGUCUUGGCAGUAGAACCAUGUCUGGUUCCAAUCCUUUGGGUGGCUUGGCGGCUCAGCGUAAGGGAAAAGACAAUCUCUCCGUCGUUGAAUAGAGAUUCCGCCAAGCUCCAAGCUAGGCCCGUUGGCGCACUCAUUCUGGCGGUUCUGAUAAAACAAUUCCCUAAACAGCAGUAGGCUGGGCUCUUCUCCAAGAUAUACUUCGCAGAAUACUUGAAAGUUGCAAAUAUUUGACACGGAAUUGGGUCCUAUGUCUUGCGGUCGCAGAUCGAAGAAGUUCAAAAAAUCUCUAAAGAAUUUUGAGCCGGGAGGUGCGAAGCUCCGACUCAUGUGAUCAGCAAAUAUUACCACCUCGCCAUCUCUAGGUUGAGGUCUUUCCUCUGACGGGUCAGGGGCACAGUAAGACAUGACCUCCUUCUUGGGCAGGUAACCCGUCUUCACAAAGUCAGCUAGAGUGUCAUCAGUAACAUUGGAUCUCAUCCAGUAGCACGUGAUGGGUGCCUUGGGAGCCUUGGGUGGCAUUGUGAAAGACGAAAGCCUAUGACAAAAGGAAAUGUCCGGUUCAACUAUAAGCCGGAGGAAGUUUAUAGUUCAAUAUUCAAGAUGGCGGCUUAUGAAGGGGCCUAAUGAUAUAUCGCUAAUUCUUUCGGGUUAUCUAAGCCGCUGUGGGCAUCGUGAGUAAUUCAAGUUGUCUAAAACUUUAUCAUAAAUGAGCCGGAAAUUUUACAGCGUGUGGCCUCUUUUAAGCCGGAGAUGUGAGCCGCCAUAGCUAAACAGAUGCAAUUUUUGGCUAAGUGUGCCACAAACAAGUUUCACAGAUCGCAGUAAUUAUUUUGGAUCAAAUGAUUGACUGGAAAGAAAAUAUUUCUAGACCUAGAAGCUGAUACAGAGAAGUUCAUGAGCUCUAAAGAGAUCUCUUUGCAAGUAAAGGGGACAUGCUACUAUUGAAAAUGGGUGCGAAACCACAACCGCAUGAGUUCUAUACAUUCUCUGGAUCUAAAGGGGCCGUGAAGAAGAAACUGUGAAGAACUGCGAAGAACAGCAAGAACCCUAAUGCGGAUCUAUUCUAUGGAGUGGCAAGGGCUUACGGAUGCUGAUGAGUCGCGGAGGUCGCCGCCGUUUCUCUGGACAGGUCAGGGUGAUGCAGCGGCCUGAGUUGGUGAAAACGAGGAGACCCGCGGCGGCGGCGGUGGAGCUCGAGCGGCAGCACAGUAGCGAGAGGAGGAAGAUGGAGGCGACGAGUGAAGGAAGACUCAUGGGCCGGGCUUAUUUAUAAGGUGUGGUUAAUAAGUGGGUGCGAGAAACGAGGAGGCCACGGCGUGAUUAUCUCGCCACAGAAGCGCCUCGAUUUCCGGGAUGGCCAUUAAAGAAGAAAUCCGUUGGGGAUAUGACAGAAUAAAAAAUUAACUUAAUGGAAGAUGAUGUCACAGCGGUUACCCGGAAUCCAGAAGAUGACGUCACGGCGGGUUAUAGCCUUCACACAAAUGUAAGCCGGAAGAUUUUCUAUCAAAGGAAUUGAAAGAUUGACAUGAGCCGGCUCAAAUCAAUCUGGGGCCUAAUGUUGAGGAUAUAACCAUUGGAGUCACCCGCCCAGGAGGGGCCGGGUUACCCAUAAUGGUCAUCACGCCAAGCCCAGUACCAAACUUAAAGACGGCGGGUCAAUAAUGGGCCUAAGACCCAGAGAUGGCUUAAGGCCCGUAGUGUUAGCCGCCGUUGGGGUGAAACUUGUAGUGUAAGGCAAGAAUAGCUAAGAGUCCGAGCCGGACACUGUUAUGGGCCGGCCGGGACUCUGAGAGCCGCUGGACGUCAACCUCUCUAUAUAAAGGGACGACCCGGCGACGGUUUAGGGACAAGGAAGAUCAAGUCGAGAGCCGAGCAUAGCAAUUAAGCUCCCUGAUCAUCGAAACCCUAAUCAAUACCACCUUAACUGGACGUAGACUUUUACCUUCACCGUAAGGGGCCGAACCAGUAUAACCCUCGUGUUUCUUGUCCCGUUUAACCCCUUUAAGCUUCCUAGCUGCGAUGGCUCCACGAUUAAGUCCUAACACGAGGACAUUUGCCGUGAUAAAUCCACGACACGGACCCUGCGCAAGCAGGAGCUACGUGCACCGGGCUGCCCUUUAGGGAGUAAUAGUUAGCCCGGGCUGCCCUUUAGGGAGUAAUAGUUAGCCGCUAAACUGGUUACUUGCUGUGACACAAGCCAUCCUAGUUUAGCACCAAGUAAAUCAAUUCACGUGUUAGAUAGAAGCUCUCACAGGGAGGUUAUAUCAUCACAGCCAUUCAUGAACAUGACACACAAAAACAGUAAUCUUGACAGCUGAACUUGCCCUAUACAACCCUUAAGCUGAAACCAAUAAAGUAGUAAAGAGAAACCAAAAGUACAAACUGAUAAGUAGAUAAAGAGUACAAUAGAAGAAUGAAAUUAUCAAGUCAAAUAGCAAUUGAAACAAGCAAACUGACCCAACACCAAAUAAGAUAGUUUCAAAACCAUCCAAGGGACAUCAGAAUUAUCAUAGCCAUUCAAGAAAAAGGAAGAACAGAAAAGGAAAAACAAAACAGAAGACAAGAAUUAAGUGUGGCUGGAGUACUGUUCCUAAAACAACAGAACUGGUUGACAUACUGCAAAACCAACAAAAUGGGUAGGAAAAUAACCGAAAAUACAAACUUGCAAAACAGUCCUUUGCAUCC